rnacentral:rRNA from 1 species
CCUACGGGAGGCAGCAGUAGGGAAUCUUCCACAAUGGGCGAAAGCCUGAUGGAGCAACGCCGCGUGGGUGAAGAAGGUCUUCGGAUCGUAAAACCCUGUUGUUAGAGAAGAAAGUGCGUGAGAGUAACUGUUCACGUUUCGACGGUAUCUAACCAGAAAACCACGGCUAACUACGUGCCAGCAGCCGCGGUAAUACGUAGGUGGCAAGCGUUAUCCGGAUUUAUUGGGCGUAAAGGGAACGCAGGCGGUCUUUUAAGUCUGAUGUGAAAGCCUUCGGCUUAACCGGAGUAGUGCAUUGGAAACUGGGAGACUUGAGUGCAGAAGAGGAGAGUGGAACUCCAUGUGUAGCGGUGAAAUGCGUAGAUAUAUGGAAGAACACCAGUGGCGAAAGCGGCUCUCUGGGCUGUAACUGACGCUGAGGUUCGAAAGCGUGGGUAGCAAACAGGAUUAGAUACCCCAGUAGUC